CGCGUAGGCGGCGCGGUAAGUCACUUGUGAAAUCUCUGAGCUUAACUCAGAACGGCCAAGUGAUACUGCAGUGCUAGAGUGUGGAAGGGGCAAUCGGAAUUCUUGGUGUAGCAGUGAAAUGCGUAGAUAUCAAGAGGAACACCUGAGGUGAAGACGGGUUGCUGGGCCAACACUGACGCCGAGGCGCGAAGCCAGGGAGCAAACG
rnacentral:rRNA from 1 species